rnacentral:rRNA from 1 species
UACGAAGGGGGCUAGCGUUGCUCGGAAUCACUGGGCGUAAAGCGCACGUAGGCGGAUUCUAAGUCAGGGGUGAAAUCCUGGAGCUCAACUCCAGAACUGCCUUUGAUACUGGGAAUCUCGAGUCCGGGAGAGGUGAGUGGGAACUGCGAGUGUAGAGGUGAAAUUCGUAGAUAUUCGCAAGAACACCAGUGGCGAAGGCGGAGCUCACUG